CCUACGGGUGGCAGCAGUGAGGAAUAUUGGUCAAUGGACGAGAGUCUGAACCAGCCAAGUAGCGUGAAGGAUGACUGCCCUAUGGGUUGUAAACUUCUUUUAUAUGGGAGUAAAAUGUUCCACGUGUGGGAUUUUGUAUGUACCAUAUGAAUAAGGAUCGGCUAACUCCGUGCCAGCAGCCGCGGUAAUACGGAGGAUCCGAGCGUUAUCCGGAUUUAUUGGGUUUAAAGGGAGCGUAGGUGGAUUGUUAAGUCAGUUGUGAAAGUUUGCGGCUCAACCGUAAAAGUGCAGUUGAAACUGGCAGUCUUGAGUACAGUAGAGGUGGGCGGAAUGCGUGGUGUAGCGGUGAAAUGCUUAGAUAUCACGAAGAACUCCGAUUGCGAAGGCAGUUCACUGGACUGCAACUGACACUGAGGCUCGAAAGUGUGGGUAUCAAACAGGAUUAGAUACCCUUGUAGUC
rnacentral:rRNA from 1 species